rnacentral:lncRNA from 1 species
UUGGGAGGAGUGGUCUUUGCAGGGGGAAGAACUUCAUCCGGGCCUUUGAGAGGUUGUAACCCCACUUCCUCUUAGCCCCCUCUGCUUCCCACGUGAGGAGUAAAGUGAUCUCUGACCUUCCUGCUCUAACUGCCAUUUGCUACACUCCACAGGACUCUCUCUCUCUCUGUAAUUGUAAGGCCGACUGAACACUUCCUAAAGUUUGCUUUUGGUCACAGCGGUUUUAUACAGCAACAGAAAAGCAACUAAUACAGACGGCGUGGGACCCUGGAAUUCAAAGAACAAAAACCACCAAAGCCAUAGCAUCUUUAUGAUGGCCUCCACCGUUUCCUGUCAUUGCCCAUCACAGACAGGCUUAUCCCAUUAUGAGGCAAUGGUGGCGCACACCUUUGAUUCCAGCAUUCAGGAGGAAGCCAGCAGAUCUCUCUGAGUUUGAGGCCAGCCUGCUCUAAAGAGUGAGUUCCAUGGGACUGGAGAGAUGGCUCAGCGGUUAAGAGCAGGGACUACUCUUCCAGAGGUCCUGAGUUCAAAUUUCUGUAACCACAUGGUGGCUCACAACCAUGUGUAAUGAUGUCUGACGCCCUCUUCUGGUGUGUCUGAAGACAGCUACAGUGUACUUAGAUAUAAUGAUAAAUCUUUACAAAUAAAU